rnacentral:tRNA from 2 species
UCGCGGGGUGGAGCAGUUCGGUAGCUCGUCGGGCUCAUAACCCGAAGGUCGCAGGUUCAAAUCCUGCCCCCGCAACC